GACGAACGCUGGCGGCGUGCUUAACACAUGCAAGUCGAACGGAAAGGCCCUGCUUUUGUGGGGUGCUCGAGUGGCGAACGGGUGAGUAACACGUGAGUAACCUGCCCUGGACUUUGGGAUAACUUCAGGAAACUGGGGCUAAUACCGGAUAGGAGCUCCUGCUGCAUGGUGGUGGUUGGAAAGUUUCGGCGGUUGGGGAUGGACUCGCGGCUUAUCAGCUUGUUGGUGGGGUAGUGGCUUACCAAGGCUUUGACGGGUAGCCGGCCUGAGAGGGUGACCGGCGACAUUGGGACUGAGAUACGGCCCAGACUCCUACGGGAGGCAGCAGUGGGGAAUAUUGCACAAUGGGCGGAAGCCUGAUGCAGAAACGCCGCGUGCGGGAUGACGGCCUUCGGGUUGUAAACCGCUUUCGCCUGUGACGAAGCGUGAGUGACGGUAAUGGGUAAAGAAGCACCGGCUAACUACGUG
rnacentral:rRNA from 1 species